rnacentral:hammerhead_ribozyme from 1 species
AUUCAGCUGACGAGUCUCAAACAGGACGAAACGCGCAUCCUGGAU